CCUACGGUAGGCAGCAGUGGGGAAUAUUGCACACUGGGGGAAACCCUGAUGCAGCAACGCCGCGUGAGUGAAGAAGUAUUUCGGUAUGUAAAGCUCUAUCAGCAGGGAAGAAAAUGACGGUACCUGAGUAAGAAUCCCCGGCUAACUCCGUGCCAGCAGCCGCGGUAAUACGUAUGGUGCAAGCGUUAUCCGGAUUUACUGGGUGUAAAGGGAGCGUAGACGGCGAUACAAGUCUGAAGUGAAAGCACGGGGCUCAAACCCGGGACUGCUUUGGAAACUGUGUUGCUUGAGUGCUGGAGAGGGAAGCGGAAUUCCUAGUGUAGCGGUGAAAUGCGUAGAUAUUAGGAAGAACACCAGUGGCGAAGGCGGCUUGCUGGACAGUAACUGACGUUGAGGCUCGAAAGCGUGGGGAGCAAACAGGAUUAGAUACCCCUGUAGUC
rnacentral:rRNA from 1 species